CUACGGAUGGUCCAAGCGUUAUCCGGAUUCAUUGGGUUUAAAGGGUCCGCAGGCGGGAAAAUAAGUCAGUGGUGAAAGCCUACAGCUCAACUGUAGAACUGCCAUUGAUACUGUUUUUCUUGAGUAUAGAUGAAGUGGGCGGAAUAUAUCAUGUAGCGGUGAAAUGCAUAGAUAUGAUAUAGAACACCGAUUGCGAAGGCAGCUCACUAAACUAUUACUGACGCUCAGGGACGAAAGCGUGGGGAGCGAACAGGAUUAGAAACCCUAGUAGUCC
rnacentral:rRNA from 1 species